AACGAACGCUGGCGGCAUGCCUAACACAUGCAAGUCGAGCGAACAGAUGAAGUGCUUGCACUUCUGACGUUAGCGGCGAACGGGUGAGUAACACGUAAGGAAUCUACCUAUAAGCGGGGGAUAACAUUCGGAAACGGGUGCUAAUACCGCAUAAUAUCUUCUUCCGCAUGGAAGAAGAUUGAAAGACGGCUCUGCUGUCACUUAUAGAUGACCUUGCGGUGCAUUAGUUAGUUGGUGGGGUAACGGCCUACCAAGACGAUGAUGCAUAGCCGAACUGAGAGGGUGGUCGGCCACAUUGGGACUGAGACACGGCCCAAACUCCUACGGGAGGCAGCAGUAGGGAAUCUUCCGCAAUGGGCGAAGGCCUGACGGAGCAAUGCCGCGUGAGUGAAGAAGGCCUUCGGGUCGUAAAACUCUGUUAUAAGAGAAGAACAAAUUGUAGAGUAACUGCUACAGUCUUGACGGUAUCUUAUCAGAAAGCCACGGCUAACUACGUGCCAGCCGCCGCCGUAA
rnacentral:rRNA from 1 species